rnacentral:rRNA from 1 species
UACGUAGGCAGCAAGCGUUGUUCGGAAUUACUGGGCGUAAAGAGUGUGUAGGCGGUGCUCUAAGUCUGUUGUGAAAUCUCCCGGCUUAACUGGGAGGGUGCGGCGGAGACUGGAGUGCUAGAGUGUGGGAGAGGUAAGCGGAAUUCCUGGUGUAGCGGUGAAAUGCGUAGAUAUCAGGAGGAACACCUGCGGUGUAGACGGCUUACUGGACCAUAACUGACGCUGAGGCACGAAAGCGUGGGUAGCAAACAGG